rnacentral:misc_RNA from 1 species
GAUGAAGAACGUAGCGAAAUGCGAUAAGUAAUGUGAAUUGCAGAAUUUAGUGAAUCAUCGAAUCUUUGAACGCAUAUUGCGCCCGCCAGCACUCUGGCGGGCAUGCCUGUCCGAGCGUCAUUUCAACCCUCGAACCCCUCCGGGGGUCCGGCGUUGGGGAUCGGGAACCCCUAAGACGGGAUCCCGGCCCCGAAAUACAGUGGCGGUCUCGCCGCAGCCUCUCAUGCGCAGUAGUUUGCACAACUCGCACCGGGAGCGCGGCGCGUCCACGUCCGUAAAACACCCAACUUCUGAAAUGUUGACCUCGGAUCAGGUAGGAAUACCCGCUGAACUUAAGCAUAUCAAUAAGCGGAGGA